rnacentral:rRNA from 1 species
CCUACGGGAGGCAGCAGUGAGGAAUAUUGGUCAAUGGACGCAAGUCUGAACCAGCCAUGCCGCGUGCAGGAAGACGGCUCUAUGAGUUGUACACUGCUUUUGUACGAGGGUAAACGCAGAUACGCGUAUCUGUCUGAAAGUAUCGUACGAAUAAGUCUCGGCUUACUCCGUUCCAGCAGCCGCGGUAAUAAGGAGGAUUCAAGCGUUAUCCGGAUUUAUUGGGUUUAAAGGGUGCUUAGGCGGUCGGAUAAGUUAGAGGUGAAAUCCCGAGGCUCAACUUCGGAAUUGCCUCGGAUACUGUUCGGCUAGAGAGUAGUUGCGGUAGGCGGAAUGUAUGGUGUAGCGGUGAAAUGCUUAGAGAUCAUACAGAACACCGAUUGCGAAGGCAGCUUACCAAGCUACUUCUGACGUUGAGGCACGAAAGCGUGGGGAGCAAACAGGAUUAGAUACCCUAGUAGGC